rnacentral:rRNA from 1 species
UACAGGGGGGGCAAGCGUUGUUCGGAAUUACUGGGCGUAAAGGGCUCGUAGGUGGCCAACUAAGUCAGACGUGAAAUCCCUCAGCUUAACUGGGGAACUGCGUCUGAUACUGGAUGGCUUGAGUUUGGGAGAGGGAUGCGGAAUUCCAAGUGUAGCGGUGAAAUGCGUAGAUAUCUGGAGGAACACCGGUGGCGAAGGCGGCAUCCUGGACCAACACUGACACUGAGGAGCGAAAGCCAGGGGAGCAAACGGG